GAAUAAACACUGCUUGCAGGUUCUAAGAAUUCUGGUCCCCUCUUUGGGCCCAAAAAUUAUCCGACAAAUAUUUAAUAUCAAUUCUAUGCCAAGAACACUUGAUAAUGGCCAUUUUUUAAUGGUCUAUUACACAAUCAAUAUUUUUCUCCUUCCAGAAGAAUGAUUUUCAUCUGCUUCCCCCUUUAUUCUCACAUGUCACAACUUAUAAUUCAGGUCUUCUUUCUCCUAAUAAGUAGAACAAAUGAAUGAACAUAUGCAUGGCCCAUGGAAGACUUCUUUUACAAAUUUGUAAAGCUUUAUCAACUAAAUUUAUAAAAAACUUUAUCUUAUUCUCUAUAGAGAAAUUUGGGAAGUGUUGACUAGCUGCUGCUUGGAUGACAUAGUUUUCCUUUUCAAAUACAGAUAUUUUAAAAGCCUUUGAUAACUCAUUUUACUGUUCAUAUGUGCCCAAGAGUAUUUGUUGUUUGCAACCUGUGGCAGUUAAGAAUAGGUAGGUGGGAAUUCUCCAUUCUCUUUUUUUCUUGUCCAUGUAGCUGGUGAAAAGAUCCUGGCUCCCUGAGUUAUUGUUAAGUAAAAGGUUCCAGAUACAGCCACCUAAAUACAUUCAACAAUCCUGGAAAUUAGAGUAUUGUGCAAAAACAGAUUUCAGGGAUUUUGUUACUGCUACAAAGCAUAGCUUACUACGACUAAUACCAAUACCAAAAUAUCCACCCAAAACAAUUAACUUAUGAAGUGGUACCCUUGCUUGGCACUAGAAAUUAUCCCCAGAGCAAUCACAGAAGUUGUUUAAUAAUGUAUCAUCAAAAGUAAGAUAAAUUACUUUGCCUGGAGUAUGUCUUUAAUUUGUAUAUGUCUGUUCUCAAGGUCCUAUUUCUUAUUUCAAAGAGCAAGGUAAAUUGCCUACAUGUAAGCUAAUGAACUAGCUAUUUGAAAUCAUUACUUCUUUACAAUUAGUGCUGUUGGAUCCCCAAGGAUCCAACUCUUGCUGGCUAAAUGUAAUUUUAUCCUACUCUGUGUAGAAAUAUGGAAAAUGUUGUCUAGCUACUGCAUAGAUAAAGUAAUUUUCCUUUUCAAGUAUAUUUUCUUUGUGAAAAUAUAUUGUCAGGCUUUUAUAACGCUUAAAUUUCCAUCUUUUUUUGUUUUAACAGAGAACAGUAAAAACACAUCAAAAAUUUUGAAACAUGAACCCAAAUAUUAAUUUGAUUUCUUCAAGGUGUCAAAAAGCAAAUAAUGAAAUCUAACGCUCUGAGUUAUACAUGGCAAAUGCUAAAAUUGGCUUUAAUUUAGUAGCAAAUAGUCACCCUUUGAAGCUAGAAUUAUGAAUGGUUUGUAAAUAUCUUUUGCAAGAAAUUGUGGUGGUGGUGAUGAGACAGAUACAUUUGGAUAUUGCAAAUCUGGAAAUAUUUCCUAGAGACAUGACUUUUCCCACAACUUUUUAGAUUGAAUCACAAAUCAGCAAUAGUCUUUUCUGUUCCUUUAUUUAAACUGAGAUUCUGAGUAUGAAAACAGAGUCACACUGAAUGUAAUUUUCUUUUUCUAAACUCCUGUGAUUUAUUUGUUUUGAUCUGGAAGUUAAUCAGAUAACAACUCAUCACAAGUCUUGGUUCUCCACCUAAAUUGUAAAGCAUUGAAGAGUUUUAUGCAUAAAGCUUGUUGCACAGUAAAGUGUCCCUAAAAUUUGCCUUCUAAAAUAUAUGGCAAGUAACUCCCCACAAUUUUAUAUAGUUCUGCAAACCUAUAGGGAACUCCCAAAAUGUAUAUAACACAUGCCCAUAUCCAUGUUGAUCACAAUUAGGUUGUGAUCCCAAAAAUAUUAUAUAAAAUCUUAGAGUGUACUAGACUAACACAGCCAGUGAUGGCAGCAUUUCAACUACUCAACUACUCCCUCUUAUAAUUAUGCAAACAAUAUCUAAGUAUUUAAGCAUCAACUCAUUGAAUGAGUUUAAAGAAUUUUUCUAGGCGAAGACAGGCCAAAAUGAUGAAGACACAGAAAUUAUUAUAGAAACUCCUGGCCACAGUGAGGACCAGAUUGUUUCACUGGACAUUUUUGGUUCACAGAGACAAAAAAGACGGAAUUCAAUGAUUGUAGUAACCCACAAUGGUCUAGCAACUGUUAGUUAGUUGGUGAAAUGGUACAUGUCUUAAUAAGAGAAAUAUGAUUUUCCAUGGUAUCCAUGACAAAUUGUGCUUGCGGUGCUGAAGAUUUCAUGGUGAUUGACUGGUAGAUUAGCAUUUAGGAAGGACAGCUUUACAAAUGUUUACAUUUGAGAUUGAAAUACAUUUUAUUGAUUGACUUCCAAGUAACAGAAAAUGUUUUGAAAUUCCUUUUUUCACUUACUAAGAUCUUUCUUGUUUUCUCUCUAGAAAUGACUAGAAAUUUAUCUUUCACCAAAUACUGAACAGAUUUUAACUGUGG
rnacentral:lncRNA from 1 species